rnacentral:rRNA from 1 species
AUUGAACGCUGGCGGAAUGCUUUACACAUGCAAGUCGAGCGGCAGCGCGGGGACAACCCUGGCGGCGAGCGGCGAACGGGUGAGUAACGCAUCGGAACGUACCUUGUAGUGGGGGAUAACUAUCCGAAAGGAUAGCUAAUACCGCAUACGCCCUGAGGGGGAAAGGGGGGGAUCGCAAGACCUCUCGCUACAGGAGCGGCCGAUGUCCGAUUAGCUAGUUGGUGAGGUAAAGGCUCACCAAGGCGACGAUCGGUAGCUGGUCUGAGAGGAUGAUCAGCCACACUGGGACUGAGACACGGCCCAGACUCCUACGGGAGGCAGCAGUGGGGAAUUUUGGACAAUGGGGGCAACCCUGAUCCAGCCAUUCCGCGUGAGUGAAGAAGGCCU